rnacentral:misc_RNA from 1 species
UUUCAUUUCCUCAAAGUCCAAUAUUUUCAUUUAUGGACUUCAAAUUGCUCAGAGUUCUUGAUAUUCUUGAUAUCAAUUUCCAACAUUUCCCUCAGUUUCCUAGUGAGAUAAUGCAACUUGUUAAUUUGCGUUACCUUGCAUUGGCCACUAGUAGUGAAUUCCCUCCAACGGUAUCACAAUUUUGGAGUUUGCAGACUUUAAUUCUUCAUGUGUAUUCAAGAAACUCGACUUUGCCUCGGGAGAUUUGGAAGAUGCCAAACCUCAGACAUCUUCAUAUUAAACCAAGCAUCUGUUUGCCAAGCCAAACCAAUGAAGAACGUAACGGAUACAAUUCAUUGGUCUUGAAUAACCUACAAACACUUACCAACAUUACCCUUGCAGAUUGUACAACAGAUGUCUUCUCAAGCACUCCUAAGUUGAAGAAAUUGGGAAUAUGUGAAACGGUCGAGUAUACUUAUCCAGUCCAGA